ACCGCCAUUCACGUGACACGCCGCGUUCGCCCGGUCGCGUGCCUCUGCGAGAAGAAGGCGGCAGCAGGCGAAGACAGACGAUGCAGCGCUAUCCUUCAGAGAACGCCGGUCCUCAACGACCUCAGGACGAUACCGCGGAGUCGUGGCAGAGCGCGACGCCGGACUCGCUUUCCUCCUCUUUGGCGGAGGAAGCUCCGGCUCUGCAGCCUCCGGCCUCUGCGCUACCGGAGCUCAGCGGGCUCACACCAGAACGGCUGGCGGUCACCGGACCUUCAACCACGGCGUCCGGUCCUUCGCAGCACGAGCCGAAUUUCGAGCUGGUGCCGAACUCCUUCCAACGCGAUCCAUAUCUACAAAGAGCGCCGGCACCAGCGAACCAGGCACACGAGGCGUCCUCACAGCGCGAGGUGUUCCACACGGCGAACACCUCCUUUCAGCCUGCGCACGUUAACGCCGUCCCGCUGCGCCUGGUGCAAGUGAAGCUUGCGGAUUCCACACCUCAACGAAGUACCAGCAAGUCCAUGCUCUCGUUCUCCGAUAGCGGCGCCGGCGACCUAUGCACGUGCUCGAUAGUUGGUGCGUUGCUCCUGCUUGCGGGCCUGCUGCUCUUCUACUACGUCUUCCGAAUGAGCCUGUCGGCUAGCGAUCAGAGUGGGACCACCACGGAGACCGUUGCUGGCGUCGAGGUCGUGUUACGUCGGGCCGAGCCUCCUAGGGUCGGCAGACUUCCACGGCACGGACGCGAGGAGCAACGAGACUCCAAUCAGAGUGACCCGGUGACGGUCUCCGCGGCAGUCACCACCGAAGAUGUCUUGGACAACGAAGCGGCGGGAGAGAGAACUACCGCUGCGACGUCGAAGGAAACCGUGCCGCCCUGGGAAAAGUCGUGGAGUCCCAAUUCAACAUAACAGGAUCGCUGCGGUCAUGCAUCACACGCACGAACAGUCAAAGUUACCAGGUAUAUACCAUCUACUAUGGAGUAGAAGAGAAAGAAGAACUAUGCUGUGCCAUUGCAGUUCGAACCAUAACAACAGAACCACGCAAGCAACCGAUCUGAUGGCCCAAGUUCCGCAGCUGACAAGAAAACCGCUGCAGCGAGGUGGUCCAACGCAACCGAAGCCAUCGCAAGUCGCUCCAGCCAUCCCGAGGCCGUUGUCUGCACAAUGGACUAGAGCGCACCAGCCUUGCUCGUUCUGGGCUCCAUACCAGCAGGGAGUCAAGGCACCAGACGUGCUGGAUAGGACGAGGCCAUUCCUGAUCAAGGACUACAUGAAGGCGGAUGCGCAUCCACCGGCCGAAGAGGGGCUGUCAUACACCCACUGCGCCUUUCUUCUAACUCUUCUGGCGAUCAUUGCUUGGGCCCUGCUUUUAUUCCGCGUGAUGCAGACGAAGCAACGUCCGGAAGCACAAACUACUGAGUUUUACUUCUUGCGAGACUUUUCCGUCCCCGACCUGCCACGUACGACAACGACGAGUUUUGCCAACGGCACUCUAGUUCCAAGCACGGGACUCACUCCCGAAACAACACACCCAUUUUCUGAAGAGCAAUCGUGAAGGUUUGCGAAGUGUUCCUAUUGUGUGAAUUAGCGAUAAGUGCAAAUAAAGUUUAAUUGCGA